AUUGAACGCUGGCGGCAGGCCUAACACAUGCAAGUCGAGCGGAUGAAGGGAGCUCGCUCCUGGAUUCAGCGGUGGACGGGUGAGUAAUGCCUAUGAAUCGGCCUGGUAGUGGGGGAUAACGCUCGGAAACGGGCGCUAAUACCGCAUACGUUCUGAGGGAGAAAGUGGGGGAUCUUCGGACCUCAGGCUAUCAGAUGAGGCUAGGUCGGAUUAGCUAGUUGGUGGUGUAAAGGCCUACCAAGGCGACGAUCCGUAACUGGUCUGAGAGGAUGAUCAGUCACACUGGAACUGAGGCACGGUCCAGACUCCUACGGGGAGCAGCAGUGGAGAAUAUUGGGCGAUGGGCGAGAGCCUGAUACAGCCAUGCCGCGGGUGUGAAGAAGGUCUUCGGAUUGUAGAGCACUUUAAGUUGGGAGGAAGGGCAGUAAGUUAAUACCUUGCUGUUUUGACGUUACCAGCAGAAUAAGCCCCGGCUAACUUCGUG
rnacentral:rRNA from 1 species